rnacentral:lncRNA from 1 species
GGGGAAAGACGGCCCUUGUCUCCCUUUUUUAUUGGGGGGGGGGUAUCUUUUGAUAGUCUUCAUAUAAAGAAUGAAAAAAGGAACAGCUAGAACAUGUAGAAAGGUUGACAAUAUUGAAGUGAAUUGUUGUUGUUUAAUCUAAUUUUGUUUCCUUAGUUUAGGAUUCAAUUUGGACCAAGAGAUCUGCAUCUUCUAAAUCUAAACAUUCAAUUAAAGUUGAUAGUUAAUUAUGUAAAAUUCAACUGAUUUCU